ACAUAUCAAUAUAGAGAGAAACACCAUUUGGCAAAGUACAACAUACAUUCAUGAUAAAAGCCCUCAACAAAGUAGGUUUAGAGCGAACUUAUCUCAAC